rnacentral:rRNA from 1 species
UGGGGAAUAUUGCGCAAUGGGGGGAACCCUGACGCAGCCAUGCCGCGUGAAUGAAGAAGGCCUUAGGGUUGUAAAGUUCUUUCGGUAUUGAGGAAGGUUGAUGUGUUAACAGCACAUCAAAUUGACGUUAAAUACAGAAGAAGCACCGGCUAACUCCGUGCCAGCAGCCGCGGUAAUACGGAGGGUGCGAGCGUUAAUCGGAAUAACUGGGCGUAAAGGGCACGCAGGCGGUUAUUUAAGUGAGGUGUGAAAGCCCCGGGCUUAACCUGGGAAUUGCAUUUCAGACUGGGUAACUAGAGUACUUUAGGGAGGGGUAGAAUUCCACGUGUAGCGGUGAAAUGCGUAGAGAUGUGGAGGAAUACCGAAGGCGAAGGCAGCCCCUUGGGAAUGUACUGACGCUCAUGUGCGAAAGCGUGGGGAGCAAACAGGAUUAGAUACCCUGGUAGUCCACGCUGUAAACGCUGUCGAUUUGGGGGUUGGGGUUUAACUCUGGCGCCCGUAGCUAACGUGAUAAAUCGACCGCCUGGGGAGUACGGCCGCAAGGUUA